UACGUAGGGGGCAAGCGUUGUCCGGAAUCAUUGGGCGUAAAGAGCGUGUAGGCGGCCAGAUAAGUCCGCUGUGAAAUCUCGAGGCUCAACUUCGAGCUGUCGGUGGAAACUGUCUGGCUAGAGUCCGGAAGAGGAGAAUGGAAUUCCCGGUGUAGCGGUGAAAUGCGCAGAUAUCGGGAGGAACACCAAUUGCGAAGGCAGCUCGCUGGGACGUUACUGACGCUGAGACGCGAAAGCUAGGGGAGCAAACAGG
rnacentral:rRNA from 1 species